rnacentral:rRNA from 1 species
UACGAAGGGGGCUAGCGUUGCUCGGAAUUACUGGGCGUAAAGCGCACGUAGGCGGCUUUCUAAGUCGGGGGUGAAAUCCCGGAGCUCAACUCCGGAACUGCCUCUGAUACAGCACGUCUUGAGUUCGAGAGAGGUGGGUGGAAUUCCUAGUGUAGAGGUGAAAUUCGUAGAUAUUAGGAAGAACACCGGUGGCGAAGGCGGCCCACUGGCUCGAUACUGACGCUGAGGUGCGAAAGCGUGGGGAGCAAACAGG